rnacentral:lncRNA from 1 species
AGAAAAGAUGGCAAUAACAGGUAAUAUCCAUGUCAUAAACAUUAAUGGAUUGAAGAAACAAAGUGUGCUACCUAUGUUGCUGGUGUUUGACCUUGUUAAUGGUGUAGUUGUUGCUGCUGGUAUGGAAGUAGACAGUGUUUUCUGUGAUGAUGUUUCUAUGUUGUGGUUGUUGUUGAUGUGGAUGAUGUUGUUGUUGCUGCUGAAGGGGACAAGGAGGUUUUGGGUGGAGUUGAUGAUAGUUCUAAAAGAAAUUUCAGAAAACUAACAUUACUUGCAAGUACAUUAAUUUAACAUUUUAAAUACCAAAAUUUUUUAGGUUUAAAUAAACUAUUAAUUGUCCCAGGAGAAUAUUGUCUCUUUACUUAUUCCUUUAAAUGUUUGAUCGAUGGAAUUGCCAUCACAUAAGACGUUAAUUUGGAUUCAUCAUAGAAAAGAUGGCAAUAACAGGUAAUAUCCAUGUCAUAAACAUUAAUGGAUUGAAGAAACAUGAUAAAGUGUGCUACCUAUGUUGCUGGUGUUUGACCUUGUUAAUGGUGUAGUUGUUGCUGCUGGUAUGGAAGUAGACAGUGUUUUCUGUGAUGAUGUUUCUGAAAUAAAUGUCAAAAAUACAUGUUCUGUAAUCAAAACUUUUACAUUUAAAUCUAAAAUAAAAACCAUGUAAUUGGAUCAGAAAAUAUUGAGUUUCUGUAUCAAACAUUUUUAAAACAAACAGUUUUGUUAAGUAGUAACGAAUUAAAACGACCAAUCAUCUUUUAAUCAAUUAAUGAAGCUAGAACAAUUUGGAAAUGUUGCAUAAAAACAAUGUAAUGUCAUGGUGAGACAUACAUUGAUUAGGAUUCAACAUGAAAAAGCAGGUAGUAGGAAGGUUGAACCUGGCCGGCACAAUGUCAGACAUUCUUCACACUAAUUGAGACAUAAUUAUUAAAGGAUUGAAGAAACAGAGUGUGCUACCUGGAUUGCUCCUGUUUGAUGUUGUUGAUGAUGUGGUUGUUGUUGAUGUGGAUGAUGUUGUUGCUGCUGAAGGGGACAAGGAGGUUUUGGGUGGAGUUGAUGAUAGUUCUAAAAGAAAUUUCAGAAAACUAACAUUACUUUCAAGAACAUUCAUAUAACAUUUUAAAUACCACCAUAUAAUAGGUUUAACCAACACUUAAGGCAAAAACAGUUUCUUUAAAAGGGGAAACAUUCCCCAUUAGUUAAAUGUUUCUGACUAUUUACGUGGGAGUUUGUCCCUGGCUGCGGAGGGCACUGGGUAUAGUCACACACACACACACACACACACUUUCACUUAACACUACAACUACCAGGCCUUUUUUAUCCACUG